rnacentral:rRNA from 1 species
GGUCAAGCUAUUAAGGGCCCACGGUGGAUGCCUUGGCGUCAAGGGCCGAUGAAGGGCGUAGCACGGCUGCGAUAAGCCUCGGUUAGCCGCCAAGCAGGCUUAGCCGGGGAUACCCGAAUCGGGGAACCGGCACCGGAGAAACCGGUGCAUCCCAAGCCGAACACAUAGGCUUGGGGGGGUAACCAGGGGAACUGAAACAUCUCAUUACCCUGAGGAAAAGAAAGCAAACGCGAUUCCCUGAGUAGUGGUGAGCGAAACGGGAACAGCCUAAACCUGCGGGGUUUAGUGGCCUGGGGGCCUAUACCUCGUGGGGGUUGUACGGCGUGUCAGCAGAAACCCCAGUGACUGCGCAGAGUUACAAAUCCGACCUCUAGCCGAAGGAACCUGGAAAGGACCGCCAGAGCGGGUGAUAGCCCCGUAGGCGAAAGGGGUCGGACUCUGGACACGUUCGUGAGUACCGCGGGACACGUGGAAUCCCGUGGGAAGCUGGGGGGACCACCCUCCAAGGCUAAAUACCCUUGACGACCGAUAGUGCACAAGUACCGUGAGGGAAAGGUGAAAAGAACCCCUAAAGGGGAGUGAAAUAGACCUGAAACCGUGGGCCUACAAGCGGUCGGAGUCCUUCUUCGGAGGGAUGACGGCGUGCCUAUUGAAGAAUGAGCCGACGAGUUACUGCUGUGUGGCGAGGCUAAGAGAUCCAGACGUCUCGGAGCCGCAGCGAAAGCGAGUCCGAAUAGGGCGAUUGAGUCGCACGGCGUAGACCCGAAACCAGGUGAGCUACCCAUGGCCAGGGUGAAGCCUCGAUAGUCUCGAGGUGGAGGCCCGAACCCGUGAACGUUGCAAAGUUCUGGGAUGAGCUGUGGGUAGAGGUGAAAUGCCAAUCGAACCUGGAGAUAGCUGGUUCUCCCCGAAAUGCAUUGAGGUGCAGCCUCUAGGGAGAGGGACGGAGGUAGAGCUCUGGAUGGGCUAGGGGGCGUGAGCCUACCAAACCCAACCAAACUUCAAAUGCCGUUCUAUCCAUGCCUAGGGAGUGAGACAGUGGGGGAUAAGCUCCAUUGUCGAGAGGGAAACAGCCCAGACCACCAACUAAGGCCCCUAAAUACAGGCUCAGUGUUAAAGGAAGUACGGUCGCCCAGACAGCCAGGAGGUUGGCUUAGAAGCAGCCAUCCUUUGAAGAGUGCGUAAUAGCUCACUGGUCGAGGGACUGUGCGCCGACAAUUUAUCGGGGCUUAAG